GCACCAAGGCGCGCGAGAGAACCCUCGUUAAGGAACUUUGCAAUCUAGCCCCGUAACUUCGGGAGAAGGGGUGCUUCGGGUGGCGCUGCUUGCGGCGCCAUGAGAAGCCGCAGUGAAGAGGCGCUGGCGACUGUUUACCAAAAACUCAGCUCUCUGCGAACACGGAAGUGGAAGUAUAGGGAGCGACGCUUGCCCGGUGCCGGAAGGUCAAGGGGAGGGGUGAGAGCCCUGAUCCGAAGCCCCGGUGAACGGCGGCCGUAACUAUAACGGUCCUAAGGUAGCGAAAUUCCUUGUCGGGUAAGUUCCGACCUGCACGAAAAGCGUAACGAUCAGCGCGCUGUCUCAACGAGGGACUCGGUGAAAUUGAACUGGCUGUGAAG
rnacentral:rRNA from 1 species